rnacentral:rRNA from 1 species
UACGUAGGGUGCAAGCGUUAAUCGGAAUUACUGGGCGUAAAGCGUGCGCAGGCGGUUGUGCAAGACCGAUGUGAAAUCCCCGGGCUUAACCUGGGAAUGGCAUUGGUGACUGCACGGCUAGAGUGUGUCAGAGGGGGGUAGAAUUCCGCGUGUAGCAGUGAAAUGCGUAGAGAUGUGGAGGAAUACCGAUGGCGAAGGCAGCCCCCUGGGAUAACACUGACGCUCAUGCACGAAAGCUAGGGGAGCAAACAGG